rnacentral:rRNA from 1 species
UACGUAGGGUGCGAGCGUUACUCGGAAUUACUGGGCGUAAAGCGCACGUAGGCGGCUUUGCAAGUUAGAGGUGAAAGCCCGGGGCUCAACCCCGGAAUUGCCUUUAAAACUGCAUCGCUAGAAUUGUGGAGAGGUAAGUGGAAUUCCGAGUGUAGAGGUGAAAUUCGUAGAUAUUCGGAAGAACACCAGUGGCGAAGGCGGGUCUCUGGACAGUUCCUGACGCUGAGGCACGAAGGUCAGGGGAGCAAACGGG